AAUGAACGUUGGCGGCAUGGAUUAGGCAUGCAAGUCGAGCGAGAAGUGUAGCAAUACACGGAAAGCGGCGGAAGGGAGAGUAAUACGUGGGAAUCUGCCCUUAGACCUGGGAUAGCAGCGGGAAACUGCUGGUAAUACCAGAUAAUGUCUAUGGACCAAAGGUGUGAUUCCGUCUAGGGAUGAGCCCACGUCCUAUUAGCUAGUUGGUAGGGUAAUGGCCUACCAAGGCGAUGAUGGGUAGCGGGUGUGAGAGCAUGACCCGCCUCACUGGGGCUGAGCCACUGCCCAGACACCUACGGGUGGCUGCAGUCGAGAAUCUUCGGCAAUGGGCGCAAGCCUGGCCGAGCGAUGCCGCGUGCGGGAUGAAGGCCUUCGGGUUGUAAACCGCUGUCGAGGGGGAGCAACUUCCAUAGAGUUAUCUUUAUGGAUUGAGUGAUCCCUGGAGGAAGGACGGGCUAAGUUCGUGCCAGCAGCCGCAGUAAAAC
rnacentral:rRNA from 1 species